CCCUGUAUCGAAAGUGAUUAUGGCGUCCGUGUCGCCAGGUCAUUGAUUGUACAGGAACAUCAAACUGAGAGCAUUUCCCGUGUUUGAAGGACGAUCAGUUCCUUUUGAACCCUGACGCUCACAGACA